rnacentral:rRNA from 1 species
AUGCGAUCAUACCACACUAAUGCACCGGGCAUCCAUCAGAAUCCGAAUGUUAAGCGUGCUUGGCGCAGAGUAAGUACUUAGGAUGGGUGACCCGUGGGAAGUCCUGCUGUUGCAUCCC